rnacentral:rRNA from 1 species
UUUGCCUGUAAGACUGGGAUAACUCCGGGAAACCGGAGCUAAUACCGGAUAGUUCCUUGAACCGCAUGGUUAAAGGAUGAAAGACGGUUUCGGCUGUCACUUACAGAUGGACCCGCGGCGCAUUAGCUAGUUGGUGGGGUAAUGGCUCACCAAGGCGACGAUGCGUAGCCGACCUGAGAGGGUGAUCGGCCACACUGGGACUGAGACACCCAGACUCCUAGUCACGGGAGGCAGCAGUAGGGAAUCUUCCGCAAUGGACGAAAGUCUGACGGAGCAACGCCGCGUGAGUGAUGAAGGUUUUCGGAUCGUAAAGCUCUGUUGUUAGGGAAGAACAAGUGCGAGAGUAACUGCUCGCACCUUGACGGUACCUAACCAGAAAGCCACGGCUAACUACGUGCCAGCAGCCGCGGUCGUAGGUGGCAAGCGUUGUCCGGAAUUAUUGGGCGUAAAGGGCUCGCAGGCGGUUUCUUAAGUCUGAUGUGAAAGCCCCCGGAACCGGGGAGGGUCAUUGGAAACUGGGAAACUUGAGUGCAGAAGAGGAGAGUGGAAUUUGUAGCGGUGAAAUGCGUAGAGAUGUGGAGGAACACCAGUGGCGAAGGCGACUCUCUGGUCUGUAACUGACGCUGAGGAGCGAAAGCGUGGGGAGCGAACAGGAUUAGAUACCCUGGUAGUCCACGCCGUAAACGAUGAGUGCUAAGUGUUAGGGGGUUUCCGCCCCUUAGUGCUGCAGCUAACGCAUUAAGCACUCCGCCUGGAGUAACUGUACGGUCGCAAGACUGAAACUCAAAGGAAUUGACGGGGGCCCGCACAAGCGGUGGAGCAUGUGGAUUCCCACGUUGUAGAAGCAACGCGAAGAACCUUACCAGGUCUUGACAUCCUCUGACAACCCUAGAGAUAGGGCUUUCCCUUCGGGGACGUGACAGGUGGUGCAUGGUUGUCGUCAGCUCGUGUCGUGAGAUGUUGGGUUAAGUCCCGCAACGAGCGCAACCCUUGAUCUUAGUUGCCAGCAUUCAGUGCACUCUAAGGUGACUGCCGGUGACAUUGUCAAACCGGAGGAAGGUGGGGAUGACGUCAAAUCAUCAUGCCCCUUAUGACCUGGGCUACACACGUGCUAUUGUCAACAAUGGACAGAACAAAGGGAGACCGCAAGGUUUAGCCAAUCCCAUAAAUCUGUUCUCAGUUCGGAUCGCAGUCUGCAACUUGACUGCGUGAAGCUAAUGUCGGACGCUAGUAAGGCU